UAGAAUGUGGUGUAUUGUGAUAGCAUGAAGAAUUUUGGAUUCUUAAGCAUGGGUUCAAUUCCUAUAAUUCUAG
rnacentral:tRNA from 1 species